rnacentral:lncRNA from 1 species
CUGGUCUUUUCAAACAGCUCUUACACUAAAAGGGCAUUAUCAUCAUUGUCACAAUUUCACAGUAUUAUUCCAACCACAGCAUGGAAAUAGAUAUAAAACACAGGAAAAUCAAGUUUCUGACUGCACUCGGCCUUCAAAUGGUUUUGGUGCUUGAUUUGCUGUCAGUGUUCCAGACAGAAGGACUCAGUAUAUCCAGCGGCUGAUAUGGGCAGAACAAAGGAUUCAAAAACAACAACAACAAAGGCCAUUGGUGGUCAAGCCUUUUUCUAUGAAGAAGUCAUGUCCCGGUCGUGGAUGGCGUCUGAGAGGACUUCUAUCUGCAGCACAGAGAGGAGUGUCGCAAUGCACUUGGGAUAUGUGAGGUGAAAGGCGUAAUAACAUGCCAUGAGAUAUGUCACGCUGG